rnacentral:rRNA from 1 species
AGUCGAGCGAGCUUGCUUAGAUGAAUUUGGUGCUUGCACCAAAUGAAACUAGAUACAAGCGAGCGGCGGACGGGUGAGUAACACGUGGGUAACCUGCCCAAGAGACUGGGAUAACACCUGGAAACAGAUGCUAAUACCGGAUAACAACACUAGACGCAUGUCUAGAGUUUAAAAGAUGGUUCUGCUAUCACUCUUGGAUGGACCUGCGGUGCAUUAGCUAGUUGGUAAGGUAACGGCUUACCAAGGCAAUGAUGCAUAGCCGAGUUGAGAGACUGAUCGGCCACAUUGGGACUGAGACACGGCCCAAACUCCUACGGGAGGCAGCAGUAGGGAAUCUUCCACAAUGGACGCAAGUCUGAUGGAGCAACGCCGCGUGAGUGAAGAAGGGUUUCGGCUCGUAAAGCUCUGUUGGUAGUGAAGAAAGAUAGAGGUAGUAACUGGCCUUUAUUUGACGGUAAUUACUUAGAAAGUCACGGCUAACUACGUGCCAGCAGCCGCGGUAAUACGUAGGUGGCAAGCGUUGUCCGGAUUUAUUGGGCGUAAAGCGAGUGCAGGCGGUUCAAUAAGUCUGAUGUGAAAGCCUUCGGCUCAACCGGAGAAUUGCAUCAGAAACUGUUGAACUUGAGUGCAGAAGAGGAGAGUGGAACUCCAUGUGUAGCGGUGGAAUGCGUAGAUAUAUGGAAGAACACCAGUGGCGAAGGCGGCUCU